rnacentral:rRNA from 1 species
AUUGAACGCUGGCGGCAUGCCUUACACAUGCAAGUCGAACGGCAGCACGGGAGCAAUCCUGGUGGCGAGUGGCGAACGGGUGAGUAAUGCAUCGGAACGUGCCAUUGAGUGGGGGAUAACGUAGCGAAAGUUACGCUAAUACCGCAUAUUCUGUGCGCAGGAAAGCAGGGGAUCGCAAGACCUUGCGCUCUUUGAGCGGCCGAUGUCAGAUUAGCUAGUUGGUGAGGUAAAGGCCUACCAAGGCGACGAUCCGUAGCGGGUCUGAGAGGAUGAUCCGCCACACUGGGACUGAGACACGGCCCAGACUCCUACGGGAGGCAGCAGUGGGGAAUUUUGGACAAUGGGGGCAACCCUGAUCCAGCCAUGCCGCGUGAGUGAAGAAGGCCUUUGGGUUGUAAAGCUCUUUCAGACGGAAAGAAAACGCAUCGGUGAAUACCCGGUGUGGAUGACGGUACCGUAAGAAGAAGCACCGGCUAACUACGUG